UGUCAGCUUCUAAUCGCCCUUGGGCAAUUUUUUAUGAUCUGGCCUCAAAUCAGGUAGGACUACCCGCUGAACUUAAGCAUAUCAAUAAGCGGAGGAAAAGAAACUAACAAGGAUUCCCCUAGUAACGGCGAGUGAAGCGGGAUGAGCUCAAAUUUAAAAUCGGCGGUCUCAGAUCGUCCGAGUUGUAGUCUAGAGAAGCGUUUUCCGUGCUGGCCUGUGUACAAGUCCGUUGGAACACGGCGUCAUAGAGGGUGAGAAUCCCGUCCUUGACACAGAUCUCCAGUGCUUUGUGAUGCGCUCUCAAAGAGUCGAGUUGUUUGGGAAUGCAGCUCAAAAUGGGUGGUAAAUUCCAUCUAAAGCUAAAUAUUGGCGAGAAACCGAUAGCGAACAAGUACCGUGAGGGAAAGAUGAAAAGCACUUUGGAAAGAGAGUUAAACAGUACGUGAAAUUGUUGAAAGGGAAACGAUUGAAGUCAGUCAUGCUUUCCGAGACUCAGCCGGUUCUGCCGGUGUACUUCUCGGUUUGCAGGCCAGCAUCAGUUUUGGGCGGUGGAAAAGGUUGGCGGGAAUGUGGCAUCCUCGGAUGUGUUAUAGCCCGCUUUCGAAUACAUCGCCCGGGACUGAGGAACGCAGCACGCCUCUUGUAGGUCGGUCUUCGGACACGUCCGUGCU
rnacentral:rRNA from 1 species